rnacentral:rRNA from 1 species
GUCGAGAAUCUUCCGCAAUGCGCGAAAGCGUGACGGAGCGACACCGCGUGAUGGAUGAAGUCCUUCGGGGCGUAAACAUCUUUUAUAAAGGAGGAAAUUUUUGACGUUACUUUAUGAAUAAGGGGCUCCCAAUCUCGUGCCAGCAGGAGCGGUAAUACGAGAGCCUCAAGCGUUAUCCGGAAUCAUUGGGCGUAAAGGGUGCGUAGGUGGUUUGAUUAGUCUCCCGUUAAAACUUCGAGCUUAACUCGAAAAGAGCGGGGGAAACGGUCAAACUAGAGUAUGUGAGAUGUGUGUGGAACUCAUGGUGUAGGGGUGAAAUCCGUUGAUAUCAUGGGGAACACCAAAAGCGAAGGCAGCACACUGGCACAUCACUGACACUGAGGCACGAAACCUAAGGUAGCGAAUGGGAUUAGAUACCCUAGUAGUCC